CUACGUAGGGGGCAAGCGUUGUCCGGAAUUACUGGGCGUAAAGAGCUCGUAGGCGGCUCAGCAAGUCGGUCGUGAAAGCCCGAGGCUCAACCUCGGAACUGCGGUCGAUACUGCUGUGGCUAGAGUCCGGUAGAGGAGAGUGGAAUUCCCGGUGUAGCGGUGGAAUGCGCAGAUAUCGGGAGGAACACCAGUGGCGAAGGCGGCUCUCUGGGCCGGUACUGACGCUGAGGAGCGAAAGCGUGGGGAGCAAACAGGAUUAGAUACCCUAGUAGUCC
rnacentral:rRNA from 1 species